rnacentral:rRNA from 1 species
UACGUAGGGGGCGAGCGUUGUCCGAAGUUACUGGGCGUAAAGCGCGCGUAGGCGGGCGCUUAAGGCUGGUGUGAAAGGCUGAGGGCUCAACCCCAGCAGUGCACUGGCGACUGGGCGCCUUGAGUGGGGGAGAGGAAGACGGAACAAGUUGUGUAGCGGUGAAAUGCGUUGAUAUAACUUGGAACACCAAUGGCGAAAGCAGUCUUCUGGACGGAUACUGACGCUCAGGUUCGAAAGCCAAGGUAGCAAACAGG